GUAAGAUGGUCUCCCAGCAGCUGUCUGGAGCCUUUCCCCUUCUCACCCUUACCUCCACCGCCAGUUUGCAGGCUGAUCCCAAUGCUCCAUGACCCUCUGUAUAAACGACAGAGUGAAAAACAUGUCACAGGAAUGCUGAUUUUUAAUCCUUAGUUUAGUAUGCAUUUCAUAUAGUUUGCCAGGUGCUAGUACUAAACCCCCUUUCCUCAAUAAACCUUUAAAUUUUAUGGGUGUUUCAUUAUCAAAUUGAAAUUAAAACCACUAAACAGGAAAUAAUAAUUCUUAAAGGUUUGUGCAAAAUCCAUUAUAUUACUCCCUGAUAAUGAAAAAGGAAUCGUAGGUCCCUGACAGAGUGAAUUUCUUAACAGAUACAAAAGAACAAUGAAUAAACACCGAAGAAGCAAACGAACCCAAUGGCCAUAGACUGGAUAUUCUUUUCUUCGUCUGUUUUGUUCUGAAGGAGGAAAAGUGGGGAAUGACCAUAAGUCCACCUACAGUUUUGAUCAACUCUGCAUGACUUCUUCAGUCUGCAUACCAGAGAGUAUGCAGCAUGAAGAGAGUGUCUGGACAGCUGACAAGGGGAUGUGUGGCUGCAUCUGCUUAUGUUUGGGAAAGAAUUGAUGUCAUACCCCCAGUGGAGCACAUCCAUACAUCAAGGGGAGGAUACCGCAGCCUACGGGAUGUCGUCUUCCUGCAGCCUCCUCCCUGCUUCCCUGGGGAGGUGAAGUGCCAUGCAAGUGAAGAAGACUUAAGAAAAGGGGCCCCUGGAUGCACCACAGCUAACCUGAUGAACAAGCCAUUCAGAUCUGGACUGCCAUCUACUCCCAAAGUAGACAGCAAGUUGACUGAUUCUGUGUGGGAUAAAAUGGAUGGGAUCAGCUGGGCACUGGGAGGGAACCAGCUCUGUGGCUAACCAGUUCUCCGUGGAGUGACAGAACCCAGCCACAGCUCUGACGCUUCAGGUGGAGAUACCCACUGCUUCCCUGAAAGAAGCAUCAGAUGGAGAAGUAAAGAAAGGACUUCUCACAGUUGCUGGGCUCUAUCAGCAUUAACCAGCAGGAUGAUGAGGUUUUCUAUUGCCCUGUGCCAGAUGGCAGCGUUCUGAUCGCAAGUCUGUGCUCUGUGGUUAUGGCAGGACUUCAUCUUCAAAUAACUGCUUGGUGUUUGAAAUUGAGGCACAGCCCACUUAUUUGGAUAUUUCAAGAUGCAAGUUUCAGCAGAACCCAUAAGCAGCAAUUGGGUUUGAGCAAUGAGGAAAGCUUUCCCCAGGUAUGUAAAAGCUAGGCAGAAUGACGCAGUAUUCACAGGUAGUUUGUUCUGCAUUGAAUGAAAUCCAGAGAUCCUCUGCUGUAGGGCUUACACACUGCAAUUUACAUUUGCAAAUAUAUAUGUACUCAGUAAAUACUUCGAAUGCUUAUGCUCCACAUAAACAAAAUGUCCUGUCUAAAAUCAUGGUAGGUACAGAGAAUUCUUCAUUACCAGUGUAUGAUUUCAGCUUGAAUUUGCAACCUAGUACCACAGAGAACUUGGUCUCUUAAGGAAAACUUAUGGUCUUAAGACCAAAGAUCAAAUCAAUUUUUUAAUUUUGUGUCUUGGGCAAUAACUGUACAGAAGAUAAGCAGUGUUUAAUUAAAAAAAAAGCAAAUACCUCC
ensembl:lncRNA